GACGAACGCUGGCGGCGUGCUUAACACAUGCAAGUCGAACGGAAAGGCCCUGCUUUUGUGGGGUGCUCGAGUGGCGAACGGGUGAGUAACACGUGAGUAACCUGCCCUUGACUUUGGGAUAACUUCAGGAAACUGGGGCUAAUACCGGAUAGGAGCUCCUGCUGCAUGGGGGUGGUUGGAAAGUUUCGGCGGUUGGGGAUGGACUCGCGGCUUAUCAGCUUGUUGGUGGGGUAGUGGCUUACCAAGGCUUUGACGGGUAGCCGGCCUGAGAGGGUGACCGGCGACAUUGGGACUGAGAUACGGCCCAGACUCCUACGGGAGGCAGCAGUGGGGAAUAUUGCACAAUGGGCGGAAGCCUGAUGCAGAAACGCCGCGUGCGGGAUGACGGCCUUCGGGUGGUAAACCGAUUUCGACUGUGACGAAGCGUGAGUGACGGUAAUGGGUCAAGAAGCACCGGCUAACUACGUG
rnacentral:rRNA from 1 species